UACGAAGGGGGCUAGCGUUGCUCGGAUUGACUGGGCGUAAAGGGCGCGUAGGCGGUUCGUACAGUCAGACGUGAAAUUCCUGGGCUCAACCUGGGGGCUGCGUUUGAUACGUGCGGACUUGAGUGCGGAAGAGGGUCGUGGAAUUCCCAGUGUAGUGGUGAAAUACGUAGAGAUUGGGAAGAACACCAGUGGCGAAGGCGGCUAUCUGGACGGUUUCUGACGCUAAGACGCGAAAGCGUGGGGAGCAAACAGG
rnacentral:rRNA from 1 species